rnacentral:rRNA from 1 species
AGUGAACGCUGGCGGUAGGCCUAACACAUGCAAGUCGAACGGCAGCACAGUAAGAGCUUGCUCUUACGGGUGGCGAGUGGCGGACGGGUGAGGAAUACAUCGGAAUCUACUUUUUCGUGGGGGAUAACGUAGGGAAACUUACGCUAAUACCGCAUACGACCUACGGGUGAAAGCAGGGGAUCCUCGGACCUUGCGCGAUUGAAUGAGCCGAUGUCGGAUUAGCUAGUUGGCGGGGUAAAGGCCCACCAAGGCGACGAUCCGUAGCUGGUCUGAGAGGAUGAUCAGCCACACUGGAACUGAGACACGGUCCAGACUCCUACGGGAGGCAGCAGUGGGGAAUAUUGGACAAUGGGCGCAAGCCUGAUCCAGCCAUACCGCGCGGGUGAAGAAGGCCUUCGGGUUGUAAAGCCCUUUUGUUGGGAAAGAAAAGCAGCAGGUUAAUACCCCGCUGUUCUGACGGUACCCAAAGAAUAAGCACCGGCUAACUUCGUG